rnacentral:rRNA from 1 species
CCUACGUGAGGCAGCAGUGAGGAAUAUUGGUCAAUGGGCGCGAGCCUGAACCAGCCAAGUAGCGUGAAGGAUGACUGCCCUACGGGUUGUAAACUUCUUUUAUAAAGGAAUAAAGUGAGGCACGUGUGCCUUUUUGUAUGUACUUUAUGAAUAAGGAUCGGCUAACUCCGUGCCAGCAGCCGCGGUAAUACGGAGGAUCCGAGCGUUAUCCGGAUUUAUUGGGUUUAAAGGGAGCGUAGAUGGGUUGUUAAGUCAGUUGUGAAAGUUUGCGGCUCAACCGUAAAAUUGCAAUUGAUACUGGCAGUCUUGAGUACAGUUGAGGUAGGCGGAAUUCGUGGUGUAGCGGUGAAAUGCUUAGAUAUCACGAAGAACUCCGAUUGCGAAGGCAGCUUACUAAACGGCCACUGACAUUGAUGCUCGAAAGUGUGGGUAUCAAACAGGAUUAGAUACCCUUGUAGUC